GACGAACGCUGGCGGCGUGCCUAAUACAUGCAAGUCGAGCGGAACUGGGGGAACUUGCUCCUUCCAGUUUAGCGGCGGACGGGUGAGUAACACGUGGGCAACCUGCCCUGCAGAUCGGGAUAACUCCGGGAAACCGGUGCUAAUACCGAAUAGUUUGGCGCCUCUCCUGAGGCGCUACGGAAAGACGGUUUCGGCUGUCACUGCAGGAUGGGCCCGCGGCGCAUUAGCUAGUUGGUGGGGUAACGGCCCACCAAGGCGACGAUGCGUAGCCGACCUGAGAGGGUGACCGGCCACACUGGGACUGAGACACGGCCCAGACUCCUACGAGAGGCAGCAGUAGGGAAUCUUCCGCAAUGGACGCAAGUCUGACGGAGCAACGCCGCGUGUGUGACGAAGGUUUUCGGAUCGUAAAACUCUGUUGUGAGGGAAGAACACGUACCAACUAACUAUUGGUACCUUGACGGUACCUCGCCAGAAAGCCACGGCUAACUACGUGCCAGCCGCCGCAGUAA
rnacentral:rRNA from 1 species